rnacentral:rRNA from 1 species
AACGUAGGAGACAAACGUUAUCCGGAGUUACUGGGCGUAAAGGGCGUGUAGGCGGUUUGUUAAGUCUGGCGUGAAAGCUCUCGGCUAAACCGGGAGAGGUCGUUGGAUACUGGCAGACUAGAGGACGGUAGAGGCGUGUGGAAUUCCGGGUGUAGUGGUGAAAUGCGUAGAUAUCUGGAGGAACACCGGUGGCGAAGGCGGCAUCCUGGACCAACACUGACGCUGAGUGAGCGAAAGCCAGGGGAGCAAACGGG